UUGAAAGGGAAACGAUUGAAGUCAGUCAUACCAACGGGAAAUCAACCUUUUGAGCUUGGUCUCGUGGGUUUUGAAGAGUUUCAAAGCCUUCGGAUUCGCGAGAUUGGGAUCUCUCGGUGUACUUUCUCGUACGGUUAGUCAACAUCGGUUUUGAAUGUCGUAAAAUGACUGGAGGAAUGUAGCUUCGAUCUCGUAUUGAAGUGUUAUAGCCUUCGGUAGAUGUGAUGAUCGAGAUUGAGGAUUGCAACGGAUACCCUUCGGGGCUACCUGUCUGAUCUCUGAUCGUUGCUCUGGUGCCGAAAGCUUGCUUACGGUUAUCAAAGUCGAUGGUCAAUAGGUUAGAACGGGUUACAUUCGUUAAGGAUGUUGACGUA
rnacentral:rRNA from 1 species